rnacentral:rRNA from 1 species
AACGAACGCUGGCGGCAUGCCUAACACAUGCAAGUCGAACGAGACCUUCGGGUCUAGUGGCGCACGGGUUCGUAACGCGUGGGAACCUGCCCUUAGGCUCGGAAUAACUCCCCGAAAGGGGUGCUAAUACCGGAUAAUGUCUUCGGACCAAAGAUUUAUCGCCUUUGGAUGGGCCCGCGUUGGAUUAGCUAGUUGGUAGGGUAAAAGCCUACCAAGGCGACGAUCCAUAGCUGGUCUGAGAGGAUGAUCAGCCACACUGGGACUGAGACACGGCCCAGACUCCUACGGGAGGCAGCAGUGGGGAAUAUUGGACAAUGGGCGGAAGCCUGAUCCAGCAAUGCCGCGUGAGUGAUGAAGGCCUUAGGGUUGUAAAGCUCUUUUAUCCGGGAUGAUAAUGACAGUACCGGGAGAAUAAGCUCCGGCUAACUACGUG